GACGAACGCUGGCGGCGUGCUUAACACAUGCGAGUCGAACGGAAAGGCCCUGCUUUUGUGGGGUGCUCGAGUGGCGAACGGGUGAGUAACACGUGAGUAACCUGCCCUUGACUUUGGGAUAACUUCAGGAAACUGGGGCUAAUACCGGAUAGGAGCUCCUGCUGCAUGGUGGGGGUUGGAAAGUUUCGGCGGUUGGGGAUGGACUCGCGGCUUAUCAGCUUGUUGGUGGGGUAGUGGCUUACCAAGGCUUUGACGGGUAGCCGGCCUGAGAGGGUGACCGGCCACAAUGGGACUGAGAGACGGCCCAGACUGCUACGGGAGGCAGCAGUGGGGAAUAUUACACAAUGGGCGGAAGCCUGAUGCAGCAACGCCGCGUGCGGGAUGACGGCCUUCGGGUUGUAAACCGCUUUCGCCUGUGACGAAGCGUUAGUGACGGUAAUGGAUAAAGAAGCACCGGCUAACUACGUG
rnacentral:rRNA from 1 species